rnacentral:rRNA from 1 species
CCUUCGGGCGCCGACGAGUGGCGGACGGGUGAGUAACGCGUAGGAAUCUGCCUCAUAGUGGGGGACAACGUGGGGAAACUCACGCUAAUACCGCAUACGCCCUACGGGGGAAAGCGGGGGCUCUUCGGACCUCGCGCUAACAGAUGAGCCUGCGUGGGAUUAGCUAGUUGGUAGGGUAAAGGCCUACCAAGGCGACGAUCCCUAGCUGGUCUGAGAGGACGAUCAGCCACACUGGGACUGAGACACGGCCCAGACUCCUACGGGAGGCAGCAGUGGGGAAUAUUGGACAAUGGGCGCAAGCCUGAUCCAGCAAUACCGCGUGUGUGAAGAAGGCCUGAGGGCUGUAAAGCACUUUCAAUGGGGAGGAAAACCUGUCGGUCAAUACCCGGCAGCUUGACAUUACCUUUAGAAGAAGCACCGGCUAACUCCGUGCCAGCAGCCGCGGUAAUACGGAGGGUGCGAGCGUUAAUCGGAAUUACUGGGCGUAAAGCGUGCGUAGGCGGUUGAUUAAGUCAGAUGUGAAAGCCCCGGGCUUAACCUGGGAACGGCAUUUGAUACUGGUUAACUAGAGUUGAGUAGAGGGGAGUGGAAUUUCAGGUGUAGCGGUGAAAUGCGUAGAUAUCUGAAGGAACACCAGUGGCGAAGGCGACUCCCUGGACUCAAACUGACGCUGAGGUACGAAAGCGUGGGUAGCAAACAGGAUUAGAUACCCUGGUAGUCCACGCCGUAAACGAUGUCAACUAACCGUUGGGUUCUUAAAGAACUUAGUGGUGGAGCUAACGUAUUAAGUUGACCGCCUGGGGAGUACGGCCGCAAGGCUAAAACUCAAAUGAAUUGACGGGGGCCCGCACAAGCGGUGGAGCAUGUGGUUUAAUUCGAUGCAACGCGAAGAACCUUACCUACCCUUGACAUGCAUAGAAUC